AGACACCAGAUCAAACCUGUCUCGGCAAUUGCUAAGAUGACCUCACGUUUCUUAAGGCCCCUUCAACCCUGACUUCCUGAAGCAGUCUGUGAGUGACAACAGCACACCAAUGUUGCUGGCUGAGGAAUGCCUCAUCAACUCACACUCACGCCUCUGUAAAGAGCCCCUGCAUUAGUGUACUCUCAAGUAUAUCAUGGAUCUCUGGCCUUCCUUGUCCAUCACAAUAACCACAACUCAUCGUUUAGGCCAUGUUUGAAGUGCCUUCUCUGUCAAGCCUUCUUGUAGAUGCCCGGUGAGACUUGGA